CGAUGACUUCUAAUGCGAAAAAUAAAUAAUUAACGUACACAUUAAUUUUAACUGCAAUAAUAAAAAGUAAAGAACACGAUAUCGAGCGGACCAUGUCUGAAGGUCCGUAAAUAUCGAGACAUGCGAAUUCACCACUUUAGAAUUAUCACUGUUCAUCCUAAAGUCUCUGAAAACUGUAGCAACCAAAAAAUCACUAUCGAGUCCCGAACGCCCGAACAACAACGCUGUCCAGAUUCUUCUGCGUAGCCUGAAACAGAAAAGUGCCCUCACGCGCGGCCUCUCUUCUCUGCGCGUGGGCCUCACGCGCCAUCACACGCGCCGUCGUCUUCCACCACGCGCCAGCCUGCAGGGUUCCCAUCCUCCUGCACGUUACGCCAGUUGUCUCUGUUUCCCCAAACUCCUCUGGAUUGAUCAAAAAACAUGAAAAACGGAGACUGAUUUAAACAGUUUUUGGACAGCUUCUUCGAUCUGAUUUCUGCUGCGUUUCUUCCUAUUUUCUAGACGAUUUCUGGUAGAUUUCACGAGCCAAAACCUUUACCUUGAAGCUCUGAUACCAAUUGUUGCGGAAGCUCUCUCAAAAGGAUCUUCAAACGGUGGUUUUUCAGGCUCAGUCCAACGUACCUUUCUCUACCAACAACCAAUCCAAACGGCUCCAAAACACAACCAAUUGAUUCACCUUGGUUGCUAUACAAUCUUACCCACGUAGGACAAGAAGGGAUGAUGAUUUAUGGCCACAAAGGUUAGGAGAAGACACCACAAAGGUAUACUAUGAAAGAACCACCAAUUGCACACGUUAUACCAGCGUUCUGGACACUUCUGGAUACCUUUUUUCUCACACAAAGGGGGGCAGCCGGGAUUCUCUAGUUUCUUCUCUCAAAAUCACACAAUCAUCAUUUCAAAGAGGCUAGGGUUAUAUUCAUAUAUAUACUCUAGGGUUAGACUUUAAGUUGGGCCAUUAAAG
rnacentral:lncRNA from 1 species